ensembl:lncRNA
GGAGAAGCUACACUUUUUUUUGUUGUUAGUUCCUUAAGAUAACCCUCUUGUUAUACUCCCCGGUGAUGGACUGGGGGAAAGCUAGAGAUGAAAGCAAUUCCCAAUUCUUCAAAGACAAAGGAAGAAGUUAACAGCACAGGAGAGGAGAAUAGCGUUGCUCUGUGGAGCGCACAAGGGUACGGAGGGUCCAGUGAUCUGAGCAUUUCAGUAGGACAUGGUGCAGAAAGACAGGUGUCUGGAGUCAUUCAGUGCUUCUAGCCUUCUCUGAGAAGGCAGAAGAAAAGGCAGAUUUAGGCAGAAAAAGUGCUCUUCUUCCCAGCUGGGCCAUUGCUCCCUGAGAGCCUAGUGUCUUACCAAGUAGUGCUGGGCAUCAUGAAGGGCAUUGAGUAAGCUCUGCUGUGUAGACAGGCACACUCCAUUCACAGACACUGCUGGGAAACUGAGGACGGGGUCAUAUGAAACACCCAAGAGAGCAAGCCGUAAAAGGGAAGAGUUUGGGCUCAUGGUUUGGCCAGUGGCCGUUUGACUCUGCUGGUUUGGGACCUGUGGUGAGGAUAGGAGCGUGCAGAGGAACAGAGUCCACUCUCCCCUCUAGGACAUGUCCCUGUCAGUGCCCAGACUCCAUACACCCCACCUUCCAAACUUCACCACCUCACAGUAGCUCUCUUCUGAGGCUCACACUUAUAGCAUGUGGGCUUGUGAGAGCGUUUAAGGUCUGCACUGUGCCAGGGCUUUGAACUGCAGAGACUAAGUAUGUUUUACCAUUUCCUCAGUUUCAGUGGUGCUGGGGAUGGAAUCCAGGGCCUCUUGUAUGCUGGGUAAGUGCUGCGCACGGGAGCUUCACACCCCCUUUCUGAGAUUGUCUUCCUCAUUGCUUACCAUUUAGAAUAUACUGUUGGCCCUGUUUGCCUAUGGGUUUCUCAUCCAUGGAUUUAGCCAACCUUGGAUUGAAAAUAUUUGGGGAAGAAUGCACCUGUUCUGAACGUGUUCAGAGUUUUCCUUUCCUGAACAACUGCUGGAACAGCUGUUUACAAAGCAUUUGCAUAGGAGAUGAAAGUUUACCAAAGGAUAUGCAUAGGUAAUUCAGAGUUCUGCACAAUAUUCUAUGAACCUCGGGCCUCCAAAGGCUUUGAUAACUGUGGGACUGGAAUAAACACAUGCACCACAGGACGGCUGUUUAUUGUUGUGAAUUUAACAAGGACUUAGGUCUGGGGUGAAUUCGCUCAACCCUGGGCCUAAUCCCCAGCACCAGUUGACUAACACUGAGGAAUGGUAGGUGUCCACAGGAUGUCCUAGACCAGUUGAUGUGAGACACAGCUACAUGUGUAAGAUAGGAAACAGGAAGGGUCUCUUCUAGACUUCUGUCAACAAAGAUCUUGAAGAUAAAACUCUCAGCUAUGACUCAGAACUGGGCCAGGUCGCUUGAGAAGUCCUUGUCCUGUUAUAUCGGGGUCUGUAUGAAACUCAGAUCCUAGCCUGGGGCUCUUAGGAGAGGCCUCACAGUAUCCCAUUCCCCCCCUUUCCUAGCCAGUUUCCAUCCUAAUUCAGCUAUGUGAGACGAGAGUGGGAAUGUAUCAAGUCUUUGCUCUCAAAAGCCAUUGUAAUAUCUAAUAUAUAUCAAAGACAAAAAUAUAACUUAAAAUGGUGGUGCACAGUAGCAAACGCGAACGUUUCAGCGGGAGAAUGUUUAUAUUCUUCUCCUUGAAAAGUUGUCUUGUGCAGAGCAGUAACAGCUCACUGUGAUGAGCGUCUGUGGUGCGACAGGAGCUGUUGAUAUGUGUGGGCUUGUUUAUGUAGAUAGAUUAUUCUCACAGAGCCUCAUGAGCCAAGCAAGCCCUGAUAUCAUCUCCAUUUUACACAUGAGGAAACCGAGUUCCCAAGAAUAAUCAACUUGCCUCAAGUCUUAGCUUGUUAGGGGCCAAGCUGAGUUCACCCCUGGGCAGCUAUGUCUAGAGGGCACACUCCAGACCUUUACUGCUGAGCACACAGCCUCUGGCUUCACAGCACUUAGUGGGAUACUGGGUCCCUGCCGGGGCGCUUUCAUUUGUACAUUAG